GACGGGGCUAUAGAAUAGUUUUGCCGUAGUCGCAGCGAGACAAGCCAACCCACCGGUCGGUCGCAGUAAACGUUCCGUUCCGGUCCGAUAAAAAGUUCUAUCAGAAAACAAACAUUUCAAAGUGCAGUGCAAAUUAUCUUAUUCAAUCUAUUGCAAAAGUGCAGAGUCGUAAAACGCCCCAAUAUCAAAAAUUUCGAGUGCGGGAAACUAAAAGAAUUAUUUCCAAUGAUAUCUUGUUAGGAUAAUUCGUUGAAAAUGUCUUUGAUUAAUGAACUAUUCCGCAAUGUGCAUCAAGUGUUUCCAAAUCUUUCUGGAUUGCAAACCAAACAAAAUCAUUUCGUAAUCACCUGCAAAAAGAAGACAAGACACAUGGCGUUUGGUUGUCGUUGCUAAUUAGCGCCGGCUCUUAAAAUUAAAAAAGAAAGAUAAGAACUAUUUACAGAACACAGAAACAACAGAAAACACUUGUGGGGCUGUUGGUACGUAACUCAAAAAAAUGUGUCAUUUAGUUUUACUACGAAUUUGUCAUAUACAGAAAAGCAUUUCCGACGCUUGGCAUUUCAUGUGUUUUAUCAAUGAAUCGCCUAGUCUAGUAAUACAAUUCUUAGAAUAUACGACCGUAUAAUAAAAGCUGUCUAGGAUAGACUUUUGCUUGGAGACACCCUCAAAGACAGCUGACAGCUGUUUUAUAAUCAAAAAUCUGCAAGGUGAUGCUAACAGAUGGGUAUGAACAACCCUUAAAUGCAAAGCCACACUGGGAGAGAGAAUAUAUAUAAAUAGAAUGGAGUAUAUUCCGGCCAUCACCUGCUACAAUCACUCAAAAUAUCACUCGAAAUGCCACUCCAAAAGAUAUUCUUCUUGAGCUGUUGGCAGAACAGAUCACGAGAUAAGUAAGUGCUCCAGGCCGAUCCACAGUCACUGCCCGUAUUGGGACUUGUUUCAUGCAUCCCUCGUUGCCUGUCGGUGGCCUCAAGUCUACAAAGGACAAAGGAUCUCCUGUCCUGCCCCGAGCAGUAGCUGUGGCAGCUGCCAGCUGGCAACGUCAUGUGCCGCGAGAUCCUUUCACUGAAAACGGACACAAUAAGGACACAGACAAGGGGCUGCCGGUCUGCCGUUGCAGAUGUUGGCUACGUUUUUCGGGGAUCAGAUGGGAUUGUGUUUGGCUUGCAGCUGCCGGCACACGUCGGCAAUUCCCCCAGCCCAUGCACUUCUUAGCCCUGAUUGAGGCAGGUAUGCACAGUCAGCGGUGCAGAGAGGGGAGCAGGGGUAGCGCAGAUGUUGUAAUAGGCAAUCUAAUCGAGAAUCGGAGUCGAAGUCGUGCCCAACUUGUUGUUGUUAUGACACCUUUUCUGCCAAUUGCCGAUCGCUGCGCAAAAGAGUUGAAUGCAAAAAUAUAG